ensembl:snRNA U6 U6 spliceosomal RNA
GUGCUGGCUUCAGCAGCCCAUGUAAUAAAACUGGAACGAUACAGAGAAGAUUAGCAUGGCCCCUGUGCAAAGAUGACACGCAAAUUCGUGAAGCAUUCCAUAUUUUU